GAUGAACGCUAGCGGCAGGCCUAACACAUGCAAGUCGAGGGGUAGCAGGAUUAAGCUUGCUUAAUUGCUGACGACCGGCGCACGGGUGCGUAACGCGUAUGCAACCUACCUUAUACUGGGGUAUAGCCCGGAGAAAUUCGGAUUAAUCCCCCCUAGUACUAAUGAAUCGCAUGGUUUAUUAGUUAAAGCAUUGCGGUAUAAGAUGGGCAUGCGUCCUAUUAGCUAGAUGGUGAGGUAACGUCUCACCAUGGCUACGAUAGGUAGGGGGCCUGAGAGUGUGGACCCCCACACUGGUACUGAGACACGGACCAGACUCCUACGGGAGUCAGCAGUGAGGAAUAUUGGUCAAUGGGCGCAAGCCUGAACCAGCCACGCCGCGUGCAGGAAGAAUGCCCUAUGGGUUGUAAACUGCUUUUAUUUGGGAAUAAACCUCUUUACGUGUAGAGAGCUGAAGGUACCAAAUGAAUAAGCACCGGCUAACUCCGUGCCAGCCGCCGCGGUAA
rnacentral:rRNA from 1 species